AGAAGGGUGCGUCUCACGGAUAGAGCAAUGGCUAGAGCACACCUGAUCAAAGGAAGGGAAGGAGUUCUUAUCCCUGACGCAGGCCUCCAUACCAUGUUUGGCAUCAUGCAAAGCUGUGGAGACGAAUCUCUGAAGGGCUUCCAGCUUCUACGUGAUAUCAGAAGAACCUACUGGAGGCACAAAUAUAGUCAAUAAGUAAUCCCACCAAGAAAAAACAGACCUACUCCACUGACUUCUCCAGAUGGACUCAUUGAGGGAUACAGGAAUGGUGUCAGAGAUUCUGGAGUCAUCCAAGCCACCCCAGGGGAAGCCUGGGCCGGAGUUGCAUCUUAGAGCUAUUCAGCAGCCCUGGGGAUUUACCCAAUACUAUUAUUCACACCAUCAAAUCUGAAACUUUCCCAAUAGAACUCAAAUAAUCAUCCCCUCACUUCUGGAUGGCAUUUUGCUGCAGGUGGUGUGAACAAGAGAAAUGUAGCAUGUGCCCCGCCCAACCCUUGGGGUUCUUGUGGCAUCGUCAAGUUUUCAGGCACCACCACAUUCCCCUCAUCCAGGCGCCAGUGCCUGCAGUGGAAGCUGCUUGCCGUACACCUGGUCCAGCCACAGCCUUGCGUGGAGUCGGCACCAGGAGCUGCCUAUUCUGCCACAGCAGUUGGUGCACCUGGUUAUGUUCAGUGGCCAGACCCCACACUCACUCACACAACCCUCACUACUCUGUGCCUGGCUCACCCUCGGCGGGCAUGGGAUCUGGGCCAGUAGUGCAAACAGAGUGCAGCCUGCUGAGCCAAGUGGGCAAAAUGAGCCCAGUGGGCACGAGCUAAACUCAAGCAGAGGCGCAGACGGCCACAGAGGUUUCUGGCUGGCGAAGUGACACCUGAAGGAUCCUGUGACCUUAUUGACUCAUUUCUAACAAUUAGAAUAAAGCAGAAGUGUUGUGAUGUCACUUCCAAGAUGUUAGGUUAUAAAAAGACUGGCUUUCAUGUUGCCUGCACUCACUCUCACUCGUUCUGAUGGAUUACUCAUGGUGGAGAAAGAUAGCUUCCAUGUCAUGGAGCAGCCGUAUGAAUAGGUCUAAAUGAGUAACCCUGCAAGUAGGUCUUCUGAGACCAGCCAACUAUCAGUGGGUGAGAUUGGAAACCCCAUUAAGACCUAAGAUGCCUGUAGCUCCAGCCAACACUUUGUAUCCUUGUGUGAGACCAACCCUGAGCCAGAGGACCCCACUAAGCUGUGCCUCAAUUCCUAACCUAAAAGAAACUGUGAAGUAAUAAAUGUUUGUUGUUUUAAACUGGUAA